rnacentral:lncRNA from 1 species
GAGCAUAUCCGAUAGCUCCCCAUAUCCCGAGCAACGGAACCCAGUCAAAAUCUCCACAUCGGUACAAUAUCUCAUCAGGAAUUAACCAAGGAGCCCUCCAUUCGAUAUCUUCAUCCUGGAGAUUCUGGAGUAUCUCUAUCCAUUUUUCUUCUGAAAUAUCAUCCCGUCUUGGCGUGGCCACCAAUUCUCCUAGAGGGGAGUAGCUAUCAGAGAAUACCCGAUAAGAG